GGUGAGGUAAAGGCUUACCUAGGCGACGAUGUGUAGCCGGUCUGAGAGGAUGAACGGCCACAAUGGAACUGAGACACGGUCCAUACUCCUACGGGAGGCAGCAGUGGGGAAUAUUGCACAAUGGGGGAAACCCUGAUGCAGCAACGCCGCGUGAGUGAAGAAGGUUUUCGGAUUGUAAAGCUCUGUUAGCAGGGAAGAGGAAGGACGGUACCUGCAGAGGAAGCCACGGCUAACUACGUGCCAGCAGCCGCGGUAAUACGUAGGUGGCAAGCGUUGUUCGGAAUAACUGGGCGUAAAGGAUGCGUACGCGGUUAAACAAGUUAUAUGUUAAAUAUAUAGGCUUAACCUGUAGAAAGCAUAUAAAACUGUUUAACUAGAGUGCAGGAGAGGUAAGUGGAAUUCCUAGUGUAGCGGUGAAAUGCGUAGAGAUUAAGAAGAACACCAGUGGCGAAGGCGACUUACUGGACUGUAACUGACGCUGAGGCAUGAUAGCAUGGGGAGCAA
rnacentral:rRNA from 1 species